GGGGAUUGUUUCGGUUGCGUUGUUGAAAAGGAUGAUAUUGGUGAGUGUUAUAGUGAUUGGCUCGUUGUGGUGGACCACGAAAGUGGUUAUUGGGUGCCCUAUAAGUGUACAUAUUUUGUGAUUGAUGUGAUGGUUUGCUUGUACUCUGGUAUUGAUGGGACUGAUAUUUGGAGUGUUGUCUCUCUGGAUUUUCAUAUGUUCUUUGUUCGUGAUAGGAAUUGGUUUUUAUAAAACCACUUUUUUGUACAGGGUGUUGGGAGGUGUAUCUCUUGUUCAAGUGGUAGGUUCGGACUUGUUUGUUAGAGUAAUCUGUUUUAUCUCUAAUAUAUUUUUUGAUUUUAAUGUGUUUUGUUUCAAUUUCGACCUUUUCAAUUUUACUUUGAAUUAGAAUAGAAUUUUGUUUGUAUGCCUGUGUGUCAGUAAAUGGCAACAAUUUGUCUCGAAUAUCAUUGAUUUCUGCAUCUAGAAUUGACAAUUUUUUACUCUUUUUUAUUAUCAGAGUUUCCAUAAGCCCUAGAGUGCAAAGUUCUAACUUAUUGUUCCACUCUUCCAUAAAUUCCAAGUCAUCUUGGUCUGAGGUGGGCAACUUAAGUAGCCGUAGACCUCGGGGAGUAAUUUGUUC